rnacentral:rRNA from 1 species
AUUGAACGCUGGCGGCAUGCUUUACACAUGCAAGUCGAACGGUAACAGACCGCAAGGUGCUGACGAGUGGCGAACGGGUGAGUAAUGCAUCGGAACGUGCCCAGUCGUGGGGGAUAACGCAGCGAAAGCUGUGCUAAUACCGCAUACGAUCUGUGGAUGAAAGCGGGGGACCGAAAGGCCUCGCGCGAUUGGAGCGGCCGAUGUCAGAUGAGGUAGUUGGUGGGGUAAAGGCCCACCAAGCCAACGAUCUGUAGCUGGUCUGAGAGGACGACCAGCGCCACGGGGACUGAGACACGGCCCAGACUCCUACGGGAGGCAGCAGUGGGGAAUUUUGGACAAUGGGCGCAAGCCUGAUCCAGCAAUGCCGCGUGCAGGAAGAAGGCCUUCGGGUUGUAAACUGCUUUUGUACGGAGCGAAAAGGCUCUCUCUAAUACAGGGGGCUCAUGACGGUACCGUAAGAAUAAGCACCGGCUAACUACGUGCCAGCCGCCGCGGUAACAC